rnacentral:rRNA from 1 species
AGAAUCAACGCUGGCGGCGUGCCUAACACAUGCAAGUCGAACGAGAAAGUGGAGCAAUCCAUGAGUAAAGUGGCGACCGGGUGAGUAACACGUGACUAACCUACCUUCGAGUGGGGGAUAACCUCGGGAAGCCGAGGCUAGUACCGCAUAACAUCGUGAGAUCAAAGCAGUAAUGCGCUGGAAGAGGGGGUCGCGGCUGAUUAGCUAGUUGGCGGGGUAAUGGCCCACCAAGGCGAAGAUCGGUA